rnacentral:misc_RNA from 1 species
UUAACUAUUAGAUAGUACUCAGACGACACUAACAUUCAGAGUUUGGGUUUCCUCUGGCAGACGCGAUCCAGCCGGAGCCGGUGCCCGAAGGCGGCCUGCCAAAGCAACAAAGAUAUAAUACACAAGGGUGGGUGUUUCUACCCGUGAGGGCAGGGACACUGUAAUGAUCCUUCCGCAGGUUCACCUACGGAAA